rnacentral:rRNA from 1 species
ACUAAGCGUACACGGUGGAUGCCCUGGCAGUCAGAGGCGAUGAAGGACGUGCUAAUCUGCGAAAAGCGUCGGUAAGGUGAUAUGAACCGUUAUAACCGGCGAUGUCCGAAUGGGGAAACCCAGUGUGAUUCGUCACACUAUCGUUAACUGAAUACAUAGGUUAACGAGGCGAACCGGGGGAACUGAAACAUCUAAGUACCCCGAGGAAAAGAAAUCAACCGAGAUUCCCCCAGUAGCGGCGAGCGAACGGGGAGCAGCCCAGAGUCUGAAUCAGCUUGUGUGUUAGUGGAACGGUCUGGAAAGUCCGACGGUACAGGGUGAUAGUCCCGUACACCAAAAUGCACAGGCUGUGAACUCGAAGAGUAGGGCGGGACACGUGGUAUCCUGUCUGAAUAUGGGGGGACCAUCCUCCAAGGCUAAAUACUCCUGACUGACCGAUAGUGAACCAGUACCGUGAGGGAAAGGCGAAAAGAACCCCGGCGAGGGGAGUGAAAAAGAACCUGAAACCGUGUACGUACAAGCAGUGGGAGCACCUUCGGGUGUGACUGCGUACCUUUUGUAUAAUGGGUCAGCGACUUAUAUUCUGUAGCAAGGUUAACCGUAUAGGGGAGCCGCAGGGAAACCGAGUCUUAACUGGGCGUUAAGUUGCAGGGUAUAGACCCGAAACCCGGUGAUCUAGCCAUGGGCAGGUUGAAGGUUGGGUAACACUAACUGGAGGACCGAACCGACUAAUGUUGAAAAAUUAGCGGAUGACUUGUGGCUGGGGGUGAAAGGCCAAUCAAACCGGGAGAUAGCUGGUUCUCCCCGAAAGCUAUUUAGGUAGCGCCUCGUGAAUUCAUCUUCGGGGGUAGAGCACUGUUUCGGCUAGGGGGUCAUCCCGACUUACCAACCCGAUGCAAACUACGAAUACCGAAGAAUGUUAUCACGGGAGACACACGGCGGGUGCUAACGUCCGUCGUGAAGAGGGAAACAACCCAGACCGCCAGCUAAGGUCCCAAAGUCAUGGUUAAGUGGGAAACGAUGUGGGAAGGCACAGACAGCCAGGAUGUUGGCUUAGAAGCAGCCAUCAUUUAAAGAAAGCGUAAUAGCUCACUGGUCGAGUCGGCCUGCGCGGAAGAUGUAACGGGGCUAAACCAUGCACCGAAGCUGCGGCAGCGACACUAUGUGUUGUUGGGUAGGGGAGCGUUCUGUAAGCCUGCGAAGGUGACCUGUGAGGGUUGCUGGAGGUAUCAGAAGUGCGAAUGCUGACAUAAGUAACGAUAAAGCGGGUGAAAAGCCCGCUCGCCGGAAGACCAAGGGUUCCUGUCCAACGUUAAUCGGGGCAGGGUGAGUCGACCCCUAAGGCGAGGCCGAAAGGCGUAGUCGAUGGGAAACAGGUUAAUAUUCCUGUACUUGGUGUUACUGCGAAGGGGGGACGGAGAAGGCUAUGUUAGCCGGGCGACGGUUGUCCCGGUUUAAGCAUGUAGGCUGAUUGUCCAGGCAAAUCCGGAUAAUCAAGGCUGAGGUGUGAUGACGAGGCACUACGGUGCUGAAGUAACAAAUGCCCUGCUUCCAGGAAAAGCCUCUAAGCAUCAGGUAACAUCAAAUCGUACCCCAAACCGACACAGGUGGUCAGGUAGAGAAUACCAAGGCGCUUGAGAGAACUCGGGUGAAGGAACUAGGCAAAAUGGUGCCGUAACUUCGGGAGAAGGCACGCUGGUGUGUAGGUGAAGUCCCUGCGGAUGGAGCUGAGACCAGUCGAAGAUACCAGCUGGCUGCAACUGUUUAUUAAAAACACAGCACUGUGCAAACACGAAAGUGGACGUAUACGGUGUGACGCCUGCCCGGUGCCGGAAGGUUAAUUGAUGGGGUUAUCCGUAAGGAGAAGCUCUUGAUCGAAGCCCCGGUAAACGGCGGCCGUAACUAUAACGGUCCUAAGGUAGCGAAAUUCCUUGUCGGGUAAGUUCCGACCUGCACGAAUGGCGUAAUGAUGGCCAGGCUGUCUCCACCCGAGACUCAGUGAAAUUGAACUCGCUGUGAAGAUGCAGUGUACCCGCGGCAAGACGGAAAGACCCCGUGAACCUUUACUAUAGCUUGACACUGAACAUUGAGCCUUGAUGUGUAGGAUAGGUGGGAGGCUUUGAAGCGUGGACGCCAGUCUGCGUGGAGCCAACCUUGAAAUACCACCCUUUAAUGUUUGAUGUUCUAACGUUGGCCCCUUACCGGGGUUGCGGACAGUGUCUGGUGGGUAGUUUGACUGGGGCGGUCUCCUCCCAAAGCGUAACGGAGGAGCACGAAGGUUAGCUAAUCCUGGUCGGACAUCAGGAGGUUAGUGCAAUGGCAUAAGCUAGCUUGACUGCGAGCGUGACGGCGCGAGCAGGUGCGAAAGCAGGUCAUAGUGAUCCGGUGGUUCUGAAUGGAAGGGCCAUCGCUCAACGGAUAAAAGGUACUCCGGGGAUAACAGGCUGAUACCGCCCAAGAGUUCAUAUCGACGGCGGUGUUUGGCACCUCGAUGUCGGCUCAUCACAUCCUGGGGCUGAAGUAGGUCCCAAGGGUAUGGCUGUUCGCCAUUUAAAGUGGUACGCGAGCUGGGUUUAGAACGUCGUGAGACAGUUCGGUCCCUAUCUGCCGUGGGCGCUGGAGAAUUGAGGGGGGCUGCUCCUAGUACGAGAGGACCGGAGUGGACGCAUCACUGGUGUUCGGGUUGUCAUGCCAAUGGCACUGCCCGGUAGCUAAAUGCGGAAGAGAUAAGUGCUGAAAGCAUCUAAGCACGAAACUUGCCCCGAGAUGAGUUCUCCCUGAGACUUUAAGUCUCCUGAAGGAACGUUGAAGACGACGACGUUGAUAGGCCGGGUGUGUAAGCGCAGCGAUGCGUUGAGCUAACCGGUACUAAUGAACCGUGAGGCUUAACC